AAGAACAGUCACCCGGCUGACCGCACAGCUGGGACCAAGGGCAGAUGGAAGGUCUGGUCAAUGGAUCAGUGCGGAUGGAGUCUCAGAGUCCAACAUUGCGAGCGAGGAAGGAGAGUGGGCUUGACAUACCAACAAUCUGAAGACUGGAUGGAUGGGAAGGCUGGCAGAUGGCUAGAGGAGGCACAGAGGGAUGGAAGGGCAGAUGGAAGCACAGUUGGAAAUGGCAGAUAGAUGGAGAGAGGACCAAUGGCCGAACAGAUAAAGAGGCUCCAGCGUCUGAGAGUGCAGAAACAAGGUAUUUGACAAAGAUGGAAUCUGGCAACUCUGAGACGGUGGAGUAUUGAAGCUUUGCAUACGUAGUGGUGAGAAUAAAGUUGCCUAUCUGUGUGUUUAAGGGGCCAGGGCUAUCUUCCUUCCCUCUCCUUAGAGUCGGUCAAAGUUCUUCAGGUCUGCCUCCAAGCAUGGCAGAGGAAGGGGGAGGAAGCUGCCGUUCUGUACAUAACAGCCUACACAUGUGAAAAUCCAGGAAGUCACUGUAGCCAUCAGACUCCUGAGUUCACAAUAAGAGGAACCCUCUAACAAGGCUCCUCCUAGGCCUCUGUUACUCUCUCCACAAGAAAGGCAAAGGCCUGGAAGCAUGCUAGGAGCCCUGGACAAUUCUUUAGCACACAUUUGAAGAUAGUACCUUUCUGGCCUCCGAUAGCUGAGGACACGGCGUUGGUCACCCAGUCCAUUUUCUACUUGACAGCAUUCAUUUUGCGUUCUGCUUGAGGGAGAACAUGAUGGGACGGGGGCUUUAUAGGUUCAUGUUGUUCUGAACCCAGGACCUCAGUCUUCCGCAUGAACUCGCCAAGAGCCCAUGCCACAAGCUUCCUGAAUCUACUACAGUGCAUCUACCACACUGGAGUAUCUGGACCCUGAGGGGAAGUCUGGGACCCUCGUCUUCCUGUGUCUGUCCCAGCACACUGCACAGGUCUGCCACCUGCUGGCACACCACCAAGAUUUGCUAUGCACAGGUCUCAAAGCAUCCCUGGUGCGGGCACUCAGGACAAUAAUAACAUAUUACAAUAAAAAUAGAAACAGCACCAACAUAUAUAAAGAACACUUUAAACUCAACAUGAACAUGAAUGACCUGACUAGAAAGAGAACAAACAGUGGACAUCUCACUGAAGACAUACAGGCAGCAAGCAGCAUAUGGAAAUAUGUUCAACAUCCUAUGUCACUAAGAAACCACAAAUUUAAACAAUGACAUAAUUUAUUAGAAUGACUAUAACCUCAAAACUGACCCCUGAUACAAACAAAUGCUAGCCAAGAUACGGAGCAGCGGGGACUCCCAUUCAUUCCUGGGCCUGCUGAAUGGUACAACCACUUUGAAAGAACCCUCAGCAUCCUACGAAGCAAGGAGUCCUCUUCUCAGAAGACCCAGCAAUGGCUCCCAGUUCUUUAUUUGAGUUACGAAGCCACAGACAAACGCUUACAGCAGCUAUACUCGUGACUGCCAUAAGUCAGAUGAAAAGGAGGCCUUCAGCGGGUAAGUUGACAGUACUGACCACUAAGAGAAGUGUGCUUGUUUUUAAAUCAUUAAAAGACAUGGAAGAACAUUAAGCACACUUUAUUUGUUGAAAGAAACCAAUCUGAAAAGGCCACACUCUGUGUGAACCCAAGUCCAUAACACUUUGGAAAAGGAAACUAUGGGGACAGUUAAAGAUGAGUGGGCUCAUGGAAGGAAGAAAGAGAUGAGCAAGUAGUACACGGGGACUUUUACAGCAAUGAAACUAUUCUCUAUGUUACCACAAUGGUGGACACAUGUCAUUACGUAUCUGCCAAAACUAGCAGACGUUAAACCAAGAGCAGAGCUUAAGGUGGUUAUGUGUGGCGAUGGUCCAACAACCGUUAUUUCAGAGGAUGCAUGAUGGAGGAGGGUCAUCUGUCUAUGUGUUACUUCCAUUGUUUAAUAAAGAAACUGCCUUGGCCCUUUGAUAGGACAGAAAAUUAGGUAAGUGGAGUAAACAGAACAGGAUGCUGGGUAGAAGGCAGACGCAAUGAUUCUCCGAGCCGAGAAGGACGCAGGUUAGAAUCUUCCCGGUAAGCCACCACCUCGUGGUGCUACACAUUAAUAGAAAUGGGUUAAUCAAGAUAUGAGAGUUAGACAAGA